AGAGUUUGACUCUGGCUCAGGAUGAACGCUAGCGAUAGGCUUAACACAUGCAAGUCGAGGGGCAGCGAGAUGUAGCAAUACGUCGUCGGCGACCGGCGAAUGGGUGAGUAACACGUAUGCAACUUACCUCUUAGUGGUGAAUAACCCGAUGAAAGUCGGACUAAUACACCAUACUCUCCUUAGAUCACAUGAGAAGAGGAGGAAAGAUUAAUCGCUAAGAGAUAGGCCUGCGUUCCAUUAGCUCGUUGGUAAGGUAACGGCUUACCAAGGCAACGAUGGAUAGGGGGACUGAGAGGUUGACCCCCCACAUUGACACUGAGAUACGGGUCAAACUCCUACGGGAGGCAGCAGUGAGGAAUAUUGGUCAAUGGGCGAGAGCCUGAACCAGCCAAGUCGCGUGAAGGAAGACGGUUCAUAAGGAUUGUAAACUUCUUUUGUAGAGGGGUAAAGGUGCGUACGUGUACGCAUUUGCAAGUACUCUACGAAUAAGUAUCGGCUAACUCCGUGCCAGCAGCCGCGGUAAUACGGGGGAUGCGAGCGUUAUCCGGAUUUAUUGGGUUUAAAGGGCGCGUAGGCGGGACGUCAAGUCAGCGGUAAAAGACUGCAGCUAAACUGUAGCACGCCGUUGAAACUGGCGCCCUCGAGACGAGACGAGGGAGGCGGAACAAGUGAAGUAGCGGUGAAAUGCAUAGAUAUCACUUGGAACCCCGAUAGCGAAGGCAGCUUCCCAGGCUCGAUCUGACGCUGAUGCGCGAGAGCGUGGGUAGCGAACAGGAUUAGAUACCCUGGUAGUCCACGCCGUAAACGAUGCUCACUGGAUCUUGGCGAUACACGGCCAGGGUUCAAGCGAAAGUAUUAAGUGAGCCACCUGGGGAGUACGUCGGCAACGAUGAAACUCAAAGGAAUUGACGGGGGCCCGCACAAGCGGAGGAACAUGUG
rnacentral:rRNA from 1 species